UGUUUUUCUUGUCCCUGUUCUUCCACAGCUGGUUGAUAGUCAUUCUCUCCCAGCUGAAUCCACUGUUUGGACCUGCUUUGAGUAAUGACACUAUUUGGUAUCUGCAAUUCCACUGGCGCUGACUCUGCCCACGACUCUGCCCUCAAUUACUGAGAAAGGCCUAGGAGGACCAAGGACAAAGAGAGAGAGAGAGAGAGAGCGAGAGCGAGCGAGCGAGAGAGAGAGUCUGGCAUGUGGCCCGGGAGCGCAGGCAGAUCUAAGUCCUCCAGACUGUCCCACAAGGCCCUGAGCUCAGACCCUCCCACCAAUGGAAUCCUUGGCUUAGUUUAUAUUUAUUUUAUUAACCACACAGUUACUAAGUAUUUUGGGUUAAAUGGUCUCUGAAUAUAUGAUAUAGGAUUUUCAGCCAUGAUUGAAUGCACAUGACCUUGCUCAUCCUAUCAGCUUUAAGUGUUUCUCGAAACUCAUGUUGUGUUGUCUAUUCAUCUUACCAACUUGUCUGUUACAAUGAAUAUUUGUAGAUGCCUCAAAAUUCGUAAUUUUGUUUUUGUACUGUACAUUUUUGGGGACAAAAUGUGCCCAAGCAAGUCCUGUACAGGCAGUAAUGACAACUAAAUGAGUUAACCUAGUCUGUAUGUUCCAUGUUUAUCUUAUCAUGACUGAUUUUUCCCAACAUAGUAACAAUGUCAAAUCACAGUACAUAACAUAUAGUAUUAUGGCAGAUCUAUUCAAAGAUGGUAUUUAUAAUGUACAGUAUUUUAUUUGUAAACUCUAAGGACUUGAGUUUCAUGCUUGCACCAAGUAAGUGUAACCUAGGGCCUUUGGAAAAAUAUAAUUGUCAUUAUUGAAGUAUUUAUAUUACUUCCAUAUAAUAUAAAUGUCUGGAUAACCGUAUUAUAGCAUCUGAAGUGUGUGCAAUGUUGCUGUAGGAUACCGUAAUUUACUUGCAAAGUUUUGGGUCAAUCCUAAAGCUUCACUGCGAUUGGUCCGUGAAGGACCACGUGACUAGGUAGUCACGCGCUUUCCAGGAACCUGUCAGGAAGAAGAAAAACAAAACAAACGCAAGAGAAAGGUAGCGUGGACUCCAUUGAAAUGGCUUUGUUAUUGCUCAGAUAGGAAUAAACACGAAGCGAAACACGACACAAAACUUUCAUAUGGGGUUUCUAAAGACACCAGGCAUCAGAAGAGAACUAGACUUCCAUGAGUUCACAGAGUUUUCCACAAUAAAGAAGACUCUUUU